UACAGAGGGGGCAAGCGUUGUUCGGAAUUACUGGGCGUAAAGGGCGCGUAGGCGGCCUCUUAAGUCGAACGUGAAAUCCCCGGGCUCAACCCGGGAACUGCGUCCGAUACUGGGAGGCUUGAAUCCGGGAGAGGGAUGUGGAAUUCCAGGUGUAGCGGUGAAAUGCGUAGAUAUCUGGAGGAACACCGGUGGCGAAGACGGCAUCCUGGACCGGUAUUGACGCUGAGGCGCGAAAGCUAGGGGAGCAAACGGG
rnacentral:rRNA from 1 species